rnacentral:lncRNA from 10 species
CUAGGGAGCUAGACUGAGACAAGCCUGGCCCUGACUGUCGCCUCCUGCCUUCUGGUCCUGGCCAUUCCUGCCCCUUUCUCUCUCCAGAGCUUGGGAGGAGUCAGAACAUUGCUCUAGCCGCUGGUGAUCUCUCCUGGUUGCCAACCCUCCUGGCCAUGACUGAUCUCCCCACUGAGAUGCUCAGGUUUGAAAGCCAAGCUGCCCAGGGAAGGGACUUCUCAAAGGUCGCGAGUCCAGUGAGUGGCAGAAGGGGGAUGUAAAGCCCAGCCCCUCUGAUGGAGUGUCCAGCGCUCGUCCCGUGCCCUCCACGCCCCUGUGUACCCAGCUACUUGUUUAUUCAUUUGGUUUAUACGUUUGGUCGUUCAUUCAUUUGGUCAGUGCACAUUCUUUUAUGGCCACACACCUGCUAGGGCAGUG